GCUAUCCAUUGCACAGAUCUCUGGAGGGCAAUUAACUCGUGGUUAGCUGGUGUGCAAAGUCAGUGUGAACUAGUCUACUCCCUCAGAAGUGGUUCUAGAGGAAAUACUGAACUGGAAGAACUGCAGAAACACAUUACAUGCAACUGGAGAGAAACAGAGUUAGAAAAAUGGUACCUACCCUUGAAGAUAUUCAGGAUUAGAAACUCCACAACUUCCAGGGUUUCAAGCAUGCUAUUAUCUGAGUUUGUUAAUGCUUGUCUUCUGAAGGAAGAUUACACAUUAUUCCCAUUCCCUUUUACACAGGGACACGGGACUUAUGCAGUCACACCGUUCUCUGUCACCUCCACCGCUUCCUGACAAACAGCUUUUGAACCGCUUGGUCAAUGCCAUCUAAAUACGAUGAAAGCUCUCAAAGAUUGACUUUAAUAGGUUGCUGCUAUAGAAGGCCAUCAUCUCAAAUUCAAUAUGGUAAAAAGAUGACUGGGAAGGUAAAACCAUUUGCUUGCCGUUGCUCAGCAAGCCCAUACACAGAACUGCCGUAUCACCAAUGCUGGUCCUGGGCUGAGGUUGUAAGACCACAACUUCAGCUACUGUGUCUUAAGUUACCACUGUGGGUGGUAAAUAAAAGAUCAGUUCACUAAAGCCAGACCUACAGGGUCACUGAAAGGCACUUUACACUUGUUUGCUUCCUCCUCAAUGCUGUUUGUUUGUGUUUCACAGCAGACUCCUCCCAUCACUAUGAAAACCUCCAUCUACCAGAUCCAUGUUAAAUAUAGCCUAAACAAGACACCCACAAACUGAAUAAUACAGG